CAUGCAAGUCGAACGGAGUUAUGUUGACAGAAGCCUUCGGGUGGAAGAUGAGAUAACUUAGUGGCGGACGGGUGAGUAACACGUGAGCAACCUGCCUAUCAGAGGGGGAUAACGUUCUGAAAAGAACGCUAAUACCGCAUAACGUGCGAGGGAGACAUCUCCCUUGUACCAAAGGAGCAAUCCGCUGAUAGAUGGGCUCGCGUCCGAUUAGGUAGUUGGUAGGGUAACGGCCUACCAAGCCGACGAUCGGUAGCCGGACUGAGAGGUUGAACGGCCACAUUGGGACUGAGACACGGCCCAGACUCCUACGGGAGGCAGCAGUGGGGAAUAUUGCACAAUGGGGGAAACCCUGAUGCAGCGACGCCGCGUGAGGGAAGAAGGUUUUCGGAUUGUAAACCUCUGUCCUUGGUGACGAAAAUGACGGUAGCCAAGGAGGAAGCCACGGCUAACUACGUGCCAGCAGCCGCGGUAAUACGUAGGUGGCAAGCGUUGUCCGGAAUUACUGGGUGUAAAGGGAGCGUAGGCGGGAAGAUAAGUUGGACGUCUAAUCUAUCGGCUCAACCGAUAGUCGCGUUCAAAACUGUUUUUCUUGAGUGAAGUAGAGGUAAGCGGAAUUCCUAGUGUAGCGGUGAAAUGCGUAAAUAUUAGGAGGAACACCAGUGGCGAAGGCGGCUUACUGGGCUUUAACUGACGCUGAGGCUCGAAAGCGUGGGUAGCAAACAGGAUUAGAUACCCUGGUAGUCCACGCUGUAAACGAUGAUUACUAGGUGUGGGGGGACUGACCCCUUCCGUGCCGGAGUUAACACAAUAAGUAAUCCACCUGGGGAGUACGACCGCAAGGUUGAAACUCAAGGGAAUUGACGGGGGCCCGCA
rnacentral:rRNA from 1 species